UUUAGGGAGACCUACCCAACUUGAAGUGAAUGAGGUUCAGUAAAUCUUCGGAUGAUAGAGCCAGAGGAUUCACAUGAAGAUGGUCAUUCCUAGGUCGGUCAGCCGUCUAAGUGUAAGCUUUCAAACUAUAAUUAGGUUCGAUGAAACUGGUGGAAUGGGCUAUUAGCUCAGGUGGUUAGAGCGCACCCCUGAUAAGGGUGAGGUCCCUGGUUCGAGUCCAGGAUGGCCCACCUAAAAUCGACUUAAGAGAUGAGUUAAAAUCAGUACAAGCUGUUGACUUAGAGUUAAGAGCUUUGAUUGACGGAGAUAGAUCUUAAGAGUUGUGAGGGGGUUUAGCUCAGUUGGUAGAGCGCCUGCCUUGCAAGCAGGAUGUCAGCGGUUCGAGUCCGCUAACCUCCACUGCAAAUCAUCUACAUGACUUGUGAUGAGUUGUGAGUUAAAUUUCAGCACCUUAGUGAGCAAUAAGCGAGCUAGAAUGCUGAGUAAUGACUCAGUAAAGAACCAUGAAAACUGCAUAAUAGAAGCGAAAAAGGUAGGUAGUACGAGAAGCUUGAGAGCGCGCAAGUGYGGUUGAGUGAAAUCGGAAACAGACAAAA
rnacentral:tRNA from 1 species